rnacentral:rRNA from 1 species
GGGUUGUGAGGUUAAGCGACUAAGCGUACACGGUGGAUGCCCUGGCAGUCAGAGGCGAUGAAGGACGUGCUAAUCUGCGAUAAGCGUCGGUAAGGUGAUAUGAACCGUUAUAACCGGCGAUUUCCGAAUGGGGAAACCCAGUGUGAUUCGUCACACUAUCAUUAACUGAAUCCAUAGGUUAAUGAGGCGAACCGGGGGAACUGAAACAUCUAAGUACCCCGAGGAAAAGAAAUCAACCGAGAUUCCCCCAGUAGCGGCGAGCGAACGGGGAGCAGCCCAGAGC